UCCGGUUUGGAUUUUGCCAGAGCCCCUCGUCGCUGACUGCGCGUAAGAAAGGCUCUGGGUACGAGAAUGGAGUUUGGGAGUAUUGUGUCUAGUGAGGACAUGAUUGUUGGUAGCCCCCAGGAAAGAUUUUUGGUCUUAUUUAGUUUAAAAUACUUACUUUAAAUCAUACUACUAUUAUUUAAGUCAAUGAGCAUUUAAAUUCAGUGAUUGGGGGUGCAAAAUUCUCUAGGUAGGAUGGGAAAGCUUUCUGAGGGAGUGCAAAAUGUUUUGGAGGUGCGCACUCUCUGCACCCCCAGAAAAUCCGUGUUUAUGUCUGUAUGUAAACGAGAGUUACAACUUUUACCAACUCUCAUCUUCGUUUGACCUGGGUCUUAUUAAGUUUCUGCAGGGUUCUACCCGUUCAAAGUAAUGCAACUUGAUGCGUAUAAAACAAACCUAUAGGAAAUAAACUAUUUUCGCGG